rnacentral:rRNA from 1 species
AGCUUUUGAGCUAAAUAUAUUAUAAUAUUAGUUAUUUAUUUAAAGUGUUGUAAAACUUUAUUAAAAAAUAUAUUUAGGGGUGAUAGGCUAUUCAAAAACUAAGAUAUCUUGAAUCUAAUUAAAUGUAUAUAGUACAUUCUACACGACUAUUUAGUGUUUAGGCUUUAUAGAAAUAUUAAUUUUUUUUAGAUUUUAAAAAUUAUAAUUUAAUAACUAAAUUUUAUUUAUAAAAUAUUAUACAUUUAAUAAAAUUUAUAUGGAGUAAUUAGAUAAAUUUAAGUUAUAUUAUAAUUGAAAUAAUGUUAAUAUUAGUAUAUGAUUUAUAUUUAUUUGAUGAACUCGGCAAAAAUGUAUUUCUCAACUGUUUAUCAAAAACAUAACUAUGUGUGUAUAAUACAUAGCGGUUUCUGCUCAA